rnacentral:tRNA from 1 species
GAAGGUGUAGCGCAGUCUGGUCAGCGCGUCUGUUAAGUACAGAAAAGAAAAGGUUCGAAUCCUUUACUUUAAU